GACGAACGCUGGCGGCGUGCUUAACACAUGCAAGUCGAACGGAAAGGCCCUGCUUUUGUGGGGUGCUCGAGUGGCGAACGGGUGAGUAACACGUGAGUAACCUGCCCUUGACUUUGGGAUAACUUCAGGAAACUGGGGCUAAUACCGGAUAGGAGCUCCUGCUGCAUGGUGGGGGUUGGAAAGUUUCGGCGGUUGGGGCUGGACUCGCGGCUUAUCAGCUUGUUGGUGGGGUAGUGGCUUACCAAGGCAUUGACGGGUAGCCGGCCUGAGAGGGUGACCGGCCACAUUGGGACUGAGAUACGGCGCAGACUGCUACGGGAGGCAGAAGGGGGGAGUAUUGCACAAUGGGCGGAAGCCUGAUGCAGCAACGCCGCGUGCGGGAUGACGGCCUUCGGGUUGUAAACCGCUUUCGCCUGUGACGAAGCGGGAGUGACGGUAAUGGGUAAAGAAGCACCGGCUAACUACGUG
rnacentral:rRNA from 1 species